UGAAUGGGACAGUCCAACAGGUCGACAGGACAGCUAUACAGAUUCCGGAAAGAAGAAUUAUCUAAGCAAAAGCAUCUAACUCUUGUUGUCGAUACUUAUACUACUAUCUGAUGUUAGUGCUCAUGUGUCCGUGAUAAAAAAGAAUAAGAAAAUUUAAAACAAAUUAGUAGAAUGUAAGAGCAAAUCGAUGUUGCACUUAACUUAUUUUCCAAUGUAGAAAUGUGUUUAGUAAUAUAAAAAAUAAAACUUCAAAAAGUAUCUCAAAUUGUUUAUAUUUUAUUGAAGAAACUGUUUUUCUUUUCAGGUCACUCAACACUAUUUGGACAUGGAACAACAAAAGAAAAUUACGGCACGGAGAAGUUCAUGUGCGUGAACAUCACGAGGAAUGAAGUCAAAUCGUACCAGCAGUGAUCAACAGCAUUUCGGGAAAAUCUGAACUACUGAAUGGAAUUGAUUGCUGGGAUGGUAAAUGCUGCUUUACCUUGUGCAAUGGGACCUUUGCUGCUGGGAUCAAGCUGAGGGCAACGGAAAGGAGCCGCGCGCCGUCAGAAGGAGAUUGGAUACAUUUUUUCCCUUGUCACCGCUCGCGUCCGAUCGUUUGUUCGUUGUUGGUUCGAAGCUCGCCGAAGUUUGGUAGCUGACGACUGAUGUUGGUGGUGUUGGUGUCAAAGGAAAAGGGGCUUUGCGUAUGUGUGCGUGGGUAUAUGAGCACGGGGCGAGUGCGCGCAGGGAAACGAUCUAAUCAGCGCUAAUUAAUCUGCUGUUGGGUCUCGAUGUUCCUUCGCGCCCGCCGAGGUUGUCCCGAUGGACGAGAGGACGAAGAAGUCCACUUGCGUCCACGGAACGAACGAAUCCGCACUAGCAGCAGCGGGAAGAAAGGGGACGCAACGCGAAGGCAUCAAGCGCUCUUGGCAAGGCCAUCAUCAUCUCCAUCAUCCGGAUAAAGGCUUUCUUCUCCCUUUUGUGGGCAAAGUGAAGUGGAUCGAUCGCCAGCCAGGGAGAGACAGAGAGGAGAGAUCGCGAGAGUGGCAGAGGCUACGCGGGCGGAGCGAAGCGAAGGAGGCAAUGCACCAGCAGCAGCAGAUGAGGGCACCGAAGCAGGUAGGCCCGUAGAUUGGAAGGCGGUAGAUUUUUUUUUGUACGGGCGUCCAUGUACCGUGAUCCAGAAGAGGCAGAAAAGCGUACGAUCGAUCGGUGAGAAAGCAGCAGCGCUGAGUGAUAUCAUUUGGCGAUGGGUGCAGAUGGCGCAAAGGGUGGCGACGGAACCAGCGGAAAUCAAUUUCGCCAGGGGAAAACAGUGAUGCCGUAAAUGAGCAGUUUGUUUUGUGAUAUGUUUUGUUGUUAUUCAGGCCCUUGCCUCGGUGGAUGAUCGGCAAGCCAUGGUCAUUGGUGGACGAUCGCCGAGUGGAUCGGAAUUUCGAGACGCCAUAUGUGCCCGAUUCACCGCGGGUCAAACGCUAUCAAUGGGGAGGUUCGAAUCGAAGUGGUGAAGCUUUGAUUAGACGCUGGGGAUCGAAUAAUUUAGGUGCUGGAAGUGGAUUGCCAGGCUGCUUACAAAUUCAUUCGUCAAAUUGCGAUCCACAGUUUUAUGUUCAAUAAUGAAUUGGAACAUUUAGGCGGCUUUCAAACAAGUCGUUUUUUGAUUACACCUAGAAGUUUGAACGAAUCAGCCAAAUUUGAACGUAUUGAAGUCUUGGUUCCUAGUCUGGCAGAUUCUUGAAAACAUUCUUGACGAAUUUAUGAAAAGAUCUUUAAGGUAGCUCUGUCAAGAUCUGAUGAACGACGAGAUCUCCAUAAUGGCGAACACAAAGAAAUUGCUGGACAAAUUCUCCAAAAAGUUUUUUGUUUGGAAAGCCUUUUGAGUGUGCAACAAGAUGAGUCAGU